rnacentral:lncRNA from 10 species
AAAGAGUAAUACAUCAACUAGACAUUUUGGAGGCAUUCCUGGACUCGGGGUUAGUCAUAAGUUACAUGAUGAAUUACCAUUUAAAAUAAAGUCAUUCUUGUCCCCACAAGUACAAGCAUUCACCAACAUCCAAUCCACUUCUUCUAGAGACAUGGAAGACUCCUGCCUGGAAUGUGGGCAGGGCCAUGUGAGUAGCUCUGGUCAGUGAAAUGUGAGUGCAUGUGGCUUAUAUCAUCACUUCUGGGCUGAGACAGUUAAAAGCCCACACAUGAUUCUUCAGUUUCUUUUCCUGUGCCACAGCAACCAAGAAGGUCACAUGUUCCAGAAGCUGCAGCUAUAAGGUGGGUGGGGGGACCUAAGUGGGCCUGGGCUCUUGAGUGACUAUGUGGAGCAGAGCUGCACUGACUCUUUCUUAUCCAUGGGUAGCACAAGCGAAAAAUAAACUUCUGUGGUGCAAAGUCACUGAGAUUCAGGAGUUGUUGCCAAAGCGGAGCCGAGCUCAGUGGUUCCCAGUCUGGUCCCAGGCACCACGUAAGAUGUUCCUUUGCUCUUCCUUCAUCUUCCACCAUGAUUGUGAGGCCUCCCCAGCCAUGCUGAACUGUGGGUAACCACCACAGGCCCACAGGCUAAAAUUGAGCUGGAGUAAGUGGCAACAGAGAGUAUUUAUUGUCCCCUAAGAGCCCUGAUCCACUGACUCACACCUGCCUCUCUGCUUGUCCAGAGAGGUACAGAGAAGUAAUGACUUGGACUUGAGGAAGGCCCUUGUAGGACAUGUGAAUGCCAGUGCUCAUGGAGAAAGGUGGAGGAAGAGAGCCAGAGUGCAGUUCACCUCUGGGAGAGCAGACCAGAGUGGCUUCCGUGGGCACAUGCUGGAUUGAAGUGAGAAGACGUGACUACUAAAGUUGAGGCCCCAAGUCUCAGCUUCUUCCCCCUCCAAAGCAUGAGUGGAGGAUUCACUUAAGGCCACUUUGAAGCCCAUAUUGGAGGAGCAUUACUCACUCUGAGGAUCCUGGCAUAGGCAGAUGCAUCACUUGUAUUGAAGUAUAUUAUCUGCUGUGAUAUUUAUGAUGAAAUGAGUUUGCCAGCCAUCGUCUAUCAGGGGAUCAAACAUAGGCACCUGCCUGUCCAAGGGGGUCUAAGUCACAGUACAGAAGUGGUUUGCAAAGGCUGGUGGGAUGGUGUGGCAGGCCUGUGGAGUUGAAUAAAAAUCCUGAUGUCCUUCCUGGCAUGAAGAAUGGAGCUGCCAAGCUGCCCCCAGGAGAAGCGUGCUGCCUAUGCAUCUCACUGGACUUCUGUGUACAGAAGAAAUAUUGGUGGUUUGACCAAACGCUCGGGCUCCCCACGACUCCCGUUGUUAUAUGGGAAAGAACAAGGUCUGGCCCACCUCUCUAAACCUUUAUAAAGGAGCCAGCUGGUGCCUGCCACUUUGUUGCCCACUGGAGAAGACUGGCUGCAUGCAUGUCAUGCACCAUAUCCCAGCAGCAAAGGCCCUGAUUUUUUUUUUUUAUCAGCUGUAGUUCAUUUGUAAAUUAUUAACCUCUCAAGAGCCAAUAUUUGCUCAGGGCCUUCCAGUCCAUCUCAAGUGUCGAUACUGUGCUUGGGAGAUUGCGGGGGAGGAUGGUGCAGGGAGCUCGGUCUGACACGCUGUUGUUGGGGAGGAAAAUGCUCUUUGUCUAGCAAGAGAGGAGGAUCUGACUCAGCAGCAGUAGAACCUCAGGCCAGCCCUUUUCCCACCUGGGGCUGAGGAGACUCAGCCAUGUGAGAGUCCACAUAGAAGCAGGGGUCCUCAGUGCUCUCUAACCACAUUGAGAGUCUACUCUGCCCCAAACCACUCCACUAUGCCAGGCUGAGGCUUUUUAGGCCAAUAUAUAUCUAAGGAUAAAAUGAAGGGAGUUCUGGAUGAUGCAUUAAGAACACUCCUGAGACAUUAGAGCCUUGCUUUGGAUUUGAAGAGGGGAACUUUACUUGUCACCCUGGGUGAAGUCAAUUCCUCUGUGAAUCUCCCCAGUGAGACUGUGGGUACCUUAGGAGAAGAGACAGUGACUUAUUCAUCUCAGAAUCCUCAGACUAGAAUAAGGCCUGGGAUUUAUCAGGCAUUCAGUAAAUUCUUGCUGAAUGAGCAAUUAACUUGAGGUCUUCAGGGUUCCUGGGACCAAAGAGUUGGCCUUUAUAAAAGCACAUUCGUAAUUCAAUCUGUACAAGUAGUACAAUUCAGUAUGGUAUGUUACAAGUCAGUUAUUGAAUAUUACACAUUGCCACAAUGAUCUGUCAGUAAUAAAGACACAGUCCAGAAAAUAUUCUCUCUCGUAGGUCACAACAGUUGACCAGUUGACUCCAAUGAUCUCAUUAAAUAGCUUGAGGUUGAAAAUAACCUAGUGUUUCUCUUACCCAAUACACUAUUUGCUGAUUGAACAACAUAAAGUUUCCAAAAGUGGAAAGGGCAUUAUGAGGAAAGGUAUUAAAAUAAAGCUAUCAUCUUAACUUUUAAUAAAACUGUGUACAAUACUGAAGAUACUUUAUAGCAAGAUGAAAAAAUUAGAGUCCUUGGUGUUGUGCAGAUGAAUUCUAGUCCCAGCAUUAUUCCAUAAUAUGUACCUUGGGCAAAUUAACAACUCUGAGACUCAGUUUUCUCAUCUUUAAAAUGGGGAUACUCUAUCUACCUCUUAAAGUUAUUGUGAGGACUGAAUGAGUUAAUACUUGGAGAGGACUCAGAGCAGGGCAUAGUUAAGGACUCAGUAAGAGCUAACUUUACUAACAUCGCUACCAUCACAAAUAAUAAGUAAGAAAACGUACCUUGAGGAUCUUGCAUAGUACCUGGCAUAAAAUAGGCUCUUAAGAGAUGAAAGCCAAUUAGUACUAGUAAUUAGAGUUUAAAAUGAUAAGAUUUUAAGGCAUGUAGAAAACAAGAAUAUCUUGUGUUUCUGGCAACCAAAGUUAUUCUAUUCCAGGCCAUGGGGAUCUCCUAUUUCUCCAGAAAUAUGGAGGCUACAAGAGAGAACUAACAUUUAUUGGGCACUUACAUUGUACUAGUUACUGUGCUAGGGGCUUUAAAAACAGUUUUUCCAUUUAAGCAAAUAAUCCUAAUAUUUUAGAUAAUUUACCUGAAACCCACCGAGAUGACGUAUUUCUCCAAUGGUUACAUUAGCUAAUACUGGUAGGACUAAGAUUUCAACCCAGAUAUGUUUGGACUCUAUAGCCUGUAUGCUUUCCACUUUUCAGAAACUUAUAAACAAAACAGAGCAAAAACUUUCUGGAACUCUCUGGAGCCCUUGGCUGUUCUCUGGACCUUCCUUUGCUGUGUCUUGGGGCAGGCACAUCUUGGCUUAGGCUGAGCUUUUCUAUUUGCCAAAAGAGUCAUCUCAGAGGGCACAGCCUGGAGUGCAGCUCAACAAACAUAUGUGUAACAGCCGAGUGCCACCACGUUAAGAACUGGACUUACAAGAUGGAUAGGACCUGGUGGCAGCUGUCCUUGAGGAAGCCAGAGCCUGGAGAGACAGAUCUCAUGUUAUAGCAGAGUACCAAUAUUCUGCAGAAAACCAAAACCUCACCUGCAUUCCUACUCCUAUCAUGAUGUUCUGCCCCCCGGGACCCUUGUUUAUGCUGGUCUCUCCUUUUGAAAGAACGUUACCCUUUUCUUCACCCAGCAAAUUCUUACUCAGACUUCAAGACUCAGUUCAGAGUCUGGGGAUGAAUAUUCUACAAAUGGCCCCCAGGAUUGUCAUGGUCCUCACGGCAGGUGAUUUGCUCUUGAACAAUUAACAGAGUGAAGGCUGUGUUCCAUCUCCUCACAGUCUCCCGCUGGGCAUCCUUGGGAGCACAGGAGGAGAAAGGCUUUCUUCUUGAUCCUAUUACUGCUGCCCAGCAUCAAGAAGGAUUAAUUAACCCACCAGGUUUUGCUUCAUUACGAGGAAAAAAGAAAAGCCAGUGACAGUGGAAUUCAAACAUUGAACAGGCAAAGGAAUCAGUGCUCAAGCACCUUAUGAACAUUUCGAAGACUUAGCUGGGCGGUGUGGCGCAAUGUAAAGUAGGGUGACUUGGUGCAAGUUACACACCCCUGCAGCCCUGUUUCUUCAUCCUCAGAGUUCACACUUCAAUUCUACAAAUUGAUGGCCUAUUCUGAGCUAAGCCCCGCCCACUCUGAACUAAGCCCCGCCUACUUUGAUUCCCUACUCUGAGCUAAGGAACAGUCUUUCAUCCCCAUGAAAGCUUUCUGUCUAGAAGGAACUAAAGAGCAUAAUUAUACUUAUUUUCCAGUGCUGUUGUUAGAAUUAAUUAAAUGUGGUAUAGCAUGUGAAAGUACUCUGUAACUAAACAUUGUAUAAAUGUUAAUUAUUCUCAUUUUCAUAUUUGAUAUUCAGGCAUUCAAACAAUUAUUGAGCACUUAUUAGGGCAAAGAACUAUACUUGCAGCUAACAGUUACGUGAAAGAAUUCGAAGACAUUGUUUUUGCUGUUUAGGAAGGUCCCACAUGGCAAAGCAAUUAAGACACACACAUGAAAUAAUUAAACAACAAAGUUGGGCCUAAAGAAGUUUCAUCUCACGUGCUAAUCAUGGCUGGCUGGCUAUGGCUAUCUAGAGUAUUAUGCUGAAAAUGAUUCUGAAGCUCUUUCUGGGCUCAAUUGAAAAGGAUGAUCUGGUGGAUUAGCAAUGAAUGCCAUGGGCAUAAGUUGGGCAUGUAGUGGUACGUGGACUAGUUGUUUAUAGUGCCUAAUACAAGGUAGCAAACAUAAUGAUAAAAGUAACUGUUAUUGAAAUUCAGCCAAGAUUGGUAUCAGUGUAGGCUUGUAUGACUGACAAAGAAUGUAGAGGAGCUAAAGAGUAAGCUUGACCUUGAAUUACGAGUAGGACUUCAGUGAAGAUAGGAGGCUAUUUCAGAAUGCAGGGCAUCUGGUAGGGAGUAGUGGAUGGUGGAGAGUAAGGAACUCAGUACUUGAUUCAAAGCCUGGGUCUCCCAGAAGUGAGCUGUGUGGCUUGGGCCACUUUAUCUCCUGAGGUCUCAGAGUUUUCAUGUAUAAAAUUGUAGAACUUGUCUUGAUGGUUUUGAACAUUCUUUCUAAUUCUGCACAACAGUCCAUUUGUGGGUUAGAUGAGCCUUUACCAAACUGUAUUUCAUGGAACAAUGGUCCCAAGAGCUGUUCUGUGAAAAGUAAGUUUCAUCAUCAAAUAAUUUUGAGAAAUUCUGAAUCCUAUAUACGUGUUGAUUCCUAUUUCUUUCCUUCCAUUCUUUCUUGAGUCCACUCUGAUUGGUCCUUAAAGUUGGAGUUUAUUUUUAUCAUUAUUGUUAUUGUCAUGGUAGUAAAGAUGGACAAAGGCAGAUUCCACAAACAUCUCAAAAUAAAAGUCAAUAGGACUUGGUGAUUAAUUGCAUAUAGGCAAUGCAGGAGAGGGUCUAAGCAAAGAUGUCAAGUAUUUCAAACUAGAAAAUGAAUAGAAUAAGCCAGGGAAUUAUUGAUGGACAAAAGAAGUUGAACCAGGUUGGUGGACAUGGAGCAGGGGUGCGGAGGGAGAAUACCAUCCUGCAGGCUAGGUACCUCAUGGGUACAGGAAGAGAUGCAUCUAGGUUACUCACAGCUAUGGAAGAUUAUUGCAAAGGUGUAAGAAAAGGUGAAGGAGAUCAUCUCAGCAGCAGCAGCAACAGCACAACGUUGGGGUCUAUAGAGACCACCUUAGUUUGCCUAAGACUAAGAAAUUUCUCAGGACACGAGCCUUUCAGUUCAAAAACUAGGUAAGUUCUGUACCAAAAAAGUUAGUUGUAUUAUUAGGGGAUCAAUUUUCCUUAUUCUAGAAUGGACAGCUGGAUUCAUAAUCAAAGGACAAUGUGUUGUUGCCAGCAAUUUCUGUUGAGCAUUUUAUGAACAGAGUUUAGAUUAGCCCCUUAACAGAUGGCUGGUGUCUCCUGUGCCUAGCACAUGUAGAAGCAUCUUUAGCCCGUCCAACCCUCUCUGGUCUUCCUGGCUAUGGCUGGGUAACAUUUGGAUCCACCUCUUAAUGGAGUAUGCCAUAUGCAGUGGGAAAAACAGAGAGGACUGCUUUCAUACCAUAUUCGUGUGAUAGAAUGAAUAAUUCUUUCAUGGGUUCCUCCCCGAGUCCAUCCAGUUCAGAGGAAAGAUGAUUAGGACUUUCCUCCAGCUGACUUUAAGGGAGGGUGGGAUGUUUAGGUAGAGGAGUAUUUACAAAAUCAGGGGAAAGAGUUGCAUUUGGGCUUAAAAAAUUCCUGAAUAUUCUUUUUUAAAAGAAAUGCCUGGUCAAAUACCGUAGGGAAUUACUGAGGAAGAACUUGAAAGAGGGAUGGAGAAGGAAGAGGAAAGAUAGAAAAGAAAAGAGACAGUAGGAGAGAAAAAGAGAGGAGAGAGAGAGAGAGAGAGAGAGAGAGGUUUGUCACAACCAGGUUUUCCCACCCCUACCUAGGGCAUUAGAACCUUCCACUAUUGCAGCUAAGAGAAUAGAGCAUGUGAACAGCUUGUACAUUUACUUAAACACCAAUGGUUUCAGCUUCUCAUACUGCACUCUACUCAAAGGUACAGUAGAUUCAGGGACCUGUCACUUAAGACAACUCUUUACCUUCCAACCAACCAAAGUGCAUUUUACAAUGUCAAUGCCAUUUCACAGAGAGGGGCAUUCAUCAGGGGUGUCUGAAGUCCAGGCCAGCCUGAGAAGGAGGUGCCAAGGCUUGGGAGUUGAGGGACCCAGGUCCUAGCUUUCUCUCCACUGGGCUCCAUUGUGUGAUCAUGGGCAACUGGCUAAACAUCUCUGGACUUUGUUCUUCCAACCUUUAAAAGGAAGCAAGGACCCACUCUUUUUGUUGAAAGAAGCUGGAGAGAGUAACUGCUGAGCCCAGGGAGAGGAGGGCAGAUGCAGGGCCAUUGUAGCCUGCUCUCACGAAUAUAAACACUCUAGAGUUUGGUCAACCCCAAAGGCCCUUUCUUCCUUAUUGGUUACUCAGGAUUUCCAAUCACCUGGGGCUCUCAAAAGUCAACAGGGGCCACUCAGCUAACCUCAGGGGUUUGAUAUAACCGGCAGGUGAAAGAGGCCAAAAAGACCUCCCCAGACUUCAGCGAGUUGUCAGCCCUUAAGCCCUUGAGCCUGCAGCAGGGGAUGAAAUAUCCUUUGGUUUUCAAAUCCCAUUGACCCAGGGCUUAUCCACGAAGGCAGGCUGGAACCUGGAGCAUAGGGCGAAGGCAGAUGUGGCAGGUUGGCUCUAGGCAGAAUCACUUGGUAGACCCGUCCUCGGCACCUGAUUCUACAUCUGGAAAAGUGAGUGAUAACUGUUGGAGUAAUAGUCCUCAGGAGUGCCUGUUAAAAGGGAUCAAAGCUUUGUGCUAAAGGGGAUCCUAGGAAGUAUAAGAGAAAUAGCUGAGAGCAGCCAAAAGGUACAGGAUGUGGAAUAGGGGCACGGAGGCAGCGCUGGUAACCAGCCCUGCACACACUCAUUAAGGCCCAACCAUGAGCUGUGACCAGAGAGUUGGGAUAUGCAUUUGGAAGUUGAAGUCCAAGUUUACAUCUUUCAUUGUGAGUCCUCAGUGGACCCAUCUACCUGUUGAUGGUGAACAGGUCCAAGACUGUAAUGAGGUGUAAGUACCAUUAGGUGGCGAUACAUGAAUGCCUUUCCCAUCUGGUUCCAAAAGAAGAGCACUAUGGGUUUGUCUCCCAGCUCAGGCUUAUAAGCAGCACAUCCAUGUUCCCUGCAUCUGUAGAUCAGCUUUAGCACCCACAGUGCCAGCUGCAAGUGGGGGUAGUGUGUGUGCGUUUUGAGCGCGUGCAUGCACAUAUGCCAAUUGUUGUGUAUUUUCACCUCAAUGUCGGUGACCAGCAAAUGAGGCAUCAGUGACACCCUGGCAGCAACUGACUACUUGGGCCACACUCUGAAAAUGGAUUGCCUCUGUUUUCUCUGCUUGAUCUUCACUGGGGGAAAAGAGUUAAAUUCGAUUUCCAGGAGCUCUCCAUGAGAGCCAACUUCAGCACAAGUUCCCAUUUCCAGAGAGGCUGCCGAGUCUCUCAUUUGUAAAGGCCUCCUCCCUUUGCCCUGAGCGGACUAGCCUUCCCCUACUUCUGCCUCUUUGCCUCUGUGUCACAGUUUUGUGGUCGAUGACACCCUCUCCUUAUCCUGCACCUCCUCCUGGUCUUGCCGACAUGGCUCAAUACUUUGUGCCUAAAUACAGGACUUGUACCAGUCUCCUAUGUCCCCGUGGAGGGCCCAGUGACAAAGGAAAAAAACCAGCCUUUCUCUGCUCAUCUGGGUGCAUAGGGCUCACCCUGAGGGAAGCUGGAAGUGGCAGCAAAUUUUUGUUUAUAAAUAAAAACAAAGACAACUUGUCGUUCCAAAGGAAAAUGCCCCCUGGUGAAAGAAACACUUAAAACCACUGAAGAAUUAGUUUCGUUUUGUCCUUGGUGGCCACCCUGUCAGCAGGUUUCCUUGAUCUUAUGUUGGUGACAGAGUCUCAAACUGAAUGCCAAGGGAAGGAUUCCACACAUAUUCCUUGGAUUUGUAGCUGAGGUACAGCCCUGGGCCUGGGGACAUGGAGAAGACCCAGCCUGCAAAACUCAAUCAUGGCUCUGCAGAUUUUACCCAGUUUGGAGAUCUACUAGCUACCACACUCGACACACACACACACACACACACACACACACACACACACUAUGAUGGAUGUCAUUCUUGUCUGCAACAUGCUCUAGUGACUGGGCCCAAGUCAGGCACAGCUUCUUGUGUGAACUGAAACACCAUUCUUUUCUUCCCUGUGUGAAAAAACAGAAUACAAGGGUGAGUGAUCUUAUGAAAACACUACUGAAUCUGUUCCAUUUUACAUAUUCACAAAAUUGAGGCCACUUAAUGUAAUAGAUAAAAGUAAUACAGAGACAACUACAAUAGGAAACAAAAGGUGAGAAAUGACAGAAGAAACAACACUCAGUGAAUACUGGGACUCAAGAGCAGGAGCAAUGGCAGCCACUUUGGAGUAGGAAGGUGAGCACUAGGAAGGGCCCCCCACCCCCUGCAAUAAGCUUUGAUGGACGGAUGGAAUUUUUUUCAAGGUAUUCUUUUUUAAAAAACAUCUUUAUUGAGAUAUACUUCAAAUACUAUAAAAUUCACUCAUUUAAAGCAUACAAUGCAGUGGUUUUUAGUAUAUUCACAGAGGUACACAACCAUUGUCACAAUCUAAGUUUAGAACAUUUUUGUCGCCUCUAACAGAAACAUGCAGUCAUGAGCAGUCAGCCCCAUUCACCCCUCACUCCCCAGCCCUAGGCAACCACUAGUCUACUUUCUGUCUCUAUAGAUGUGCCUAUUCUAGGUAUUUUAUAUUAAUGGAAUUAUAGUUUUUUGUGGCUGUCUUCUUCAACUUAGCAUAAUGUUUUCAAGGUUUGUCCAUGUUGUAAAAGGUGUCGGUACUUCAUUUCUUUUCAUGGCCGAAAAAUAUUCCAUUGUAUAGAUAUUCCCCAUGUUUGUUUAUUCAUUCAUCUAUUAAUGAACAUUUGGGUUGUUUCCACUUUUUGCCUAUUAUGAGAAAUGGUGCAGUUCUUUCAUCUGCAUGUUUUUAUGUGGACAUGUUUUCAUUUCUCUUGGGUGUAUACCUAGGAGUGGAAUUGCUAGGUCAUAUAUUAUCCCUAUGUCUAACUUUUUGAGGAAUUGCCAAACUGUUUUUCAAAGUGGCUGCACCUUACCGCAUUCCCACCAGCAAUAAAUAAGGGUUUCAAUUUAUCAGUGUCCUUGUUAUAGUCUGUCUUUUUGAUGAUAGACAUCCUGGAGGGUGUGAAGUGGUAUCUCGUUGUGGUUUUGAUUUGCAUUUCCCUGAUGACUAAUGAUGUUGAGCAUCUUUUCAUGUGCUUAUUAGCUAUUUGUAUUUUUUUUUUUUGGUGUUGGGGGACAUAUGUCUAUUCAAAUCCUGGGCCCAGGUCAGGCACAGAUGCUUUUUAAUUCGGUUGUCUUUUUAUUUUUGAGUGGAUGGCUGAGUUUUUGAGAGGUGUAGGAGUGUAGGAGCAAAAGCUUAGAUGUGGAAAAGGUAGGCACUUGUAAGGAGUAAGAAGUAAAACAGAUUGGCUUCAGAGUGUAGCAUUUUCAUGAGAGAUGUGACUCUGCAUUUAACAGAAAAGGC